rnacentral:lncRNA from 1 species
UAGCCUCACUGUGAGUAGUCAUACCAUCACAGGUUAAAGGAUCAUUCACACAACUAUAGCAUCGAGACAAUCACUGAUGAUCGAGUAGAAAUUCAAGUGAUCUCUCGUAUGGUCAAGCUCAGCACUAGUUGUUCUCUAACAACUACCCGCACUCAUCGCUCAGUGUCUCUAUAAUGUAGACCAGAGAAUCAUCUGCCCCG